rnacentral:lncRNA from 1 species
AUCAUUCAUGUUUGACUCAGGCAUCCCAUGCAACUUGAAAAAUGUGAUCCCUUAAAAGUUGUCCUAACUCGGAGCUGUAAACAGAUAGCAGAGGGCCAAGAAGCAGGGGCGGCUCAACAACAUCAGGCCUAAAGCAAUACCUUAAUGAGAGGCCUUAAUAUAUAUAUAUAUACAUUUAAUAAGCAUCGUUUUUUUUUUAAAUUAGGCGAGUAUGUGAAAUAAAAAAAAUGAGAUUUUGGUUUUAUAAAAUACAAAAAAUUGAAUGAAUUUGCGUUGAUUGCAUCACAACUGAUGUGACUCCUUUUUUUUAGUCGGUCCCCUUUCUAUAUUUAGUAAUAAUUCAACUUUAAAAUUUCCUUUUUACCCUUAAUGAGAUAAUUUAUAGCCACACAAGUUUAUAUGAUUUGUUUUAGAUCAUAAGUUUCACAAGUCUUCCUUUAUUUUAUAAACUCCGUGUCCAAUCAAACACUUUCAUAUAAAUUGGGAUGAAGAAAGUAUAAUUUAUGCAAGGAAAAUAAAUGAUAAGUAAGAUUAUUAGAUAUAGUUACAUGACUAACUAAUGAAUAAAGAAAUAUAAUUCAGAAAAAAACGUAUAAUAAGAUUGACAAAAAACUAUUUUGAUUAUAUUAAUUAGAAGAAUAAAUUGAGUUAUUAAAAAUUAAUAUGACAAUAAAGAAAUAAAUUUAUCAAUCAUAAGAAAUAAGGAAAAUGCAUAAGUACCCCUGAUCUAUAGUCGAAUUUUCAACUACACACUUGAUUUGCACGGGAUCCUAUUACCCCUAAACUAUUUUAAAGUGUAACAAACACACCAUUAAUAAGAGAUAACCACAUGAGUGUUUUGUCGGUGAGUUGCAUGCGCUUUUACCACUUAAAAAUUGAUUACUUUUUCGCCGUCUUCUCUCAUACUUCAUCUGAAACCCACUUGGCCACCGGAGAAACAAAAGUCCAGCGAGCCAUAAAAAAACUUGAGCUCUUAUCACCGUCAAAACACCAUUAUUAACAACAAAGACCAGCCUCCACCUUCAUCUCCAUCCUCGCACUGCCAAAAUAUCCCCAACAAUCAUUAAGUCAUAAAAAAUAGCACCACUAAAAAUCUCCGGUCACCAUUUUUUUGGGGAACAUACAUAUUUCUUCAAUAACCAAAGCAAAUGAUGAGAAUAUUCUAUAAUAAUGAUGGAUUUUCGUAAUAAUUGAGUUCAAGUUGAUCUUGAAGAGUAGAAAUUUCACCUAACUCACAUUACCAUUUGAGCCAAUUGCUUAGAAAAAGGAAAAUCAGUUAAUGUGUAUGCUUUAAGAAAGGGUUUGAUUUGUAAGAUGUUCUCAAAAGAAUUUCAGUCGAGAAUUAUUUGUUCAUGAAAUACAUUAAUUGCUGGUAAUUGUUAAUCCAGACAGCCGCCAUCCGUUUGGAUUGACUUAAAAAAUAUGGCUUUUAAGCACAAGUAACUUUUAAUUGCGGUGACUAAUUUUAUAAAUAAGUAGUUACCUGUUUGGAUAAAAGUACUUAAGCUUAAAAAAAGUUAUUAAAGUGUUUGGUAAACAAAUGCUGGUAAACACUUUUUUCUAUUAAAAAGACAAAAAUAUCACCUAAAACAAAUCAAGAACCUACAUCUUUCUCUUGCUUAUUAUGUAACAAUCUGCCAAACUUCGAUUUUUAUAUAAGCGGACCAUGACCAAACAUAAAACUUGCAAAAAGAUUGUUACCAUAUAUAUUUUUUUAAAUGUAAAGUCUUAAAACCAGGCUUGAGAUAAUCUAGGUAUACAAAUACCUCAAAGAAAAAGCAUAUAACAAGAUGAAUAAGAAAAGAAGAAAGAAUGAACUUACGGUAAAGAUGGAAGAUAAAGGAGAAGAAGAGGAAAGAAGAUGACAGUGGGAGUAGUUAGAUAUUUUAGGAUUUAUUUGAUGAGGGUGGUUUUGGGAUUAGUAAAAGUUAUACGGGACAAGUAAGUAAUUUCUUUGGUCAAAAUAAGAUGGUUUUUAAGCAAAAAAAAAGAGAAGUUAGAUAUUCAACUUGUGAUUUUUAGCUUUUUGUAAGCCUUUUUUUAAGCUAUUUUUUUUUUACCAAACACUCCAAAUAUCUAAACAAGCUAAAGCUUUCAAAAUGACGAAAAAUAGCAAGAUGAAAGGGGUUAGAG